AAUAUAUGGUAUCCCAUGGAGCUAACUAUAUAUAUAUAUAUAUAUAUAUAUAUAUAUAUAUAUAUAUAUAUAUAUAUAUAUAGUUAGCUCCAUGGGAUACCAUAUAUU